rnacentral:rRNA from 1 species
UGAGUAACACGUAUCCAACCUGCCGUCUACUCUUGGACAGCCUUCUGAAAGGAAGAUUAAUACAAGAUGGCAUCAUGAGUCCGCAUGUUCACAUGAUUAAAGGUAUUCCGGUAGACGAUGGGGAUGCGUUCCAUUAGAUAGUAGGCGGGGUAACGGCCCACCUAGUCUACGAUGGAUGGGGUUCUGAGAGGAAGGUCCCCCACAUUGGAACUGAGACACGGUCCAA